AGAAGAAGAAGAAGAAGAAAAAGACUCAAAAUUCCAGAACUCCUUGUUGGUUGCCAAAAAUCUACAGCUUAAAAAAAAUUAUUAUAAAUUCAUUGUAAUUAUCAGUGAUACAACUAAAAAGGGACAAAAUCAGAAAAUCUCACUCGGUUGACGCUAGUUAUACUUGACUCAAUAUGACUUAUACCAUUAUAUCAAAGAUGAGAAUAUCAAAUAUUUAACCUAAAAGAUCCGAAUUCCUUCCUUUUUCAGAAAGGCCUCAACUUUAAUCAAACACAGAAUAAAUUAUCUAGAAUUGCCAACAAAAAUUAAUCGAACAACAGAUUUAAACCUGGAUUUUCUGCGUUAGCAACGAAACAGAGGAUUAGGCUUUUCAAUUUUUUUAUUCUACAAUAAGAGAAGGAAAAAAGAGUUAAGAUGGUAAAUAUAAUUUAGAAUUAUAUUACCUGAGACGAAACAAGAAGGAAGCUUAUGAGCUAAGAGAAGCCAAGCUUUUACUUGGAUCUGAAGCCUGCAUAUAGCACUGUAAGUCUAUUGAAGAUUCAAAGCAAAGGUGGAGCCUUU
rnacentral:misc_RNA from 1 species